rnacentral:piRNA from 1 species
GUCAAUGCAAAAGAUGAGCCUCUGUAAUGC